GACGAUCAGUAGCCGGCCUGAGAGGGCGGACGGCCACAUUGGGACUGAGACACGGCCCAGACUCCUACGGGAGGCAGCAGUGGGGAAUAUUGCACAAUGGGGGAAACCCUGAUGCAGCGACGCCGCGUGAGGGAAGAAGGUUUUCGGAUUGUAAACCUCUGUCUUCGGUGACGAAAAUGACGGUAGCCGAGGAGGAAGCCACGGCUAACUAC
rnacentral:rRNA from 1 species